rnacentral:rRNA from 1 species
UUAGGGGCUUCGGCCCCAACAGUUAGUGGCGGACGGGUGAGUAACGCGUAGGAACCUACCAGGCAGUGGGGAAUAACAGCUGGAAACGGCUGCUAAUACCGCAUACGUCCCUUCGGGGAGAAAGAUUUAUCGCUGUUUGAGGGUCCUGCGUUCGAUUAGCUAGUUGGUGUGGUAACGGCGCACCAAGGCUACGAUCGAUAGCUGGUCUGAGAGGGUGAAC